UACGGGGGGGGCAAGCGUUGUUCGGAAUUACUGGGCGUAAAGGGCUCGUAGGCGGCCAACUAAGUCAGACGUGAAAUCCCUCGGCUUAACCGGGGAACUGCAUCUGAUACUGGAUGGCUUGAGAUUGGGAGAGGGAUGCGGAAUUCCAGGUGUAGCGGUGAAAUGCGUAGAUAUCUGGAGGAACACCGGUGGCGAAGGCGGCGUUCUGGACUGUUUCUGACACUGAUAAACGAAAGCCAGGGGAGCAAACGGG
rnacentral:rRNA from 1 species